rnacentral:rRNA from 1 species
UACGAAGGGGGCUAGCGUUGCUCGGAAUCACUGGGCGUAAAGGGUGCGUAGGCGGGGCUUUAAGUCAGGGGUGAAAUCCUGGAGCUCAACUCCAGAACUGCCUUUGAUACUGAGGAUCUUGAGUUCGGGAGAGGUGAGUGGAACUGCGAGUGUAGAGGUGAAAUUCGUAGAUAUUCGCAAGAACACCAGUGGCGAAGGCGGCUCACUGGCCCGAUACUGACGCUGAGGCACGAAGGCCAGGGGAGCAAACGGG